AUCUCUAGACUCGGGUUCGAUUCCCGAUGGGUCCUGGACCCAUGGUGUAGCGGCUAGCACGAGAGACUCUGA